rnacentral:rRNA from 1 species
GAUGAACGCUAGCGGGAGGCUUAACACAUGCAAGUCGAGGGGUAGGGAAGCAAUUCCUGAGACCGGCGGACGGGUGCGUAACGCGUAUGCAACCUGCCUUAUACAGGGGGAUAGCCCAUGGAAACGUGGAUUAACACCCCAUAGGAUUACGGGAUCGCAUGAUUUUGUGAUUAAAACCGAGGUGGUAUAAGAUGGGCAUGCGUCUGAUUAGGUAGUUGGUAGGGUAAUGGCCUACCAAGCCGACGAUCAGCAGGGGUUCUGAGAGGAUUACCCCCCACACUGGUACUGAGACACGGACCAGACUCCUACGGGAGGCAGCAGUGAGGAAUAUUGGUCAAUGGCCGGAAGGCUGAACCAGCCAUCCCGCGUGCAGGAUGACGGCCCUAUGGGUUGUAAACUGCUUUUGUACCUGAAGAAUAGGCCCAACGAGUUGGGAUUUGCCGGUAAGGUAUGAAUAAGCAUCGGCUAACUCCGUGCCAGCCGCCGCAGUAAGAC